GUUGGGUUCGUUACAGCUUAAACUCAAGGUAUAGGUUUCAGUAUCGCUCACCGGUUAGGUUUAGAAGGUGCUUUAGUCGUUAUCUCCUCUCGUCGACAGCUUAAUUUAGGUUGCGUGUUCUACUGGAAUUGAUGUUUCCAAAGAUCAAACUGUUAAAAGACUUCCAAAGAGUGUUGGCUAUGUGCAAUCAAGCCACAAACUUUCUCGCUUUGGUCGUGAGAAGUUGAAUCUCAAAGAUAAAUAUAGCGGUAACGACGGUGUGAAGUUUGAAGAAACCAAGUCUGAGGACACCAACGUAGCGAGUGAUUCACUGGUUGAAAAACAUGAAAGUGUUGCAAAAGAAUCUAAUGGAGUUGCUUGUAAUACAUAUAACAACAGGUGUCUGACGUAUACGUUCAGCAGGCGGCAUAAGAAGGUUUUAUCAUCUAAAUCUGGGAACUAUUCUUCUCAUGGAAACAGUUGUAACCAUGAAAACAAGAAUCCUGAUCUGAUUGAAGAUUCAUCUAGCGAUAGCCAAAACAUGAUGGACAUUGCUUGCCAGUUAAUAUCCUUGUCCGCGAAUCGUAGUUGGUGAAGGCAUUUAGUGCUUCAAAAUGUGAUAUGCAAGCAAUGGUGUGUGAAGUUUUUGAGGUGUUGGUCUAAAUCAUGCAACAGGAUGCAGGUAUCUCCUUUGCUUGGAAGAAGUACAUAUUUUGAUCAUCCAUCCUUAUCACUUGGAAAUUAUGAUGCCAAUCUACUUUGGCUAGUCGAAUCUAGUUGCCAACUCAGUCGUCACUUUCCAGUUUAGGUUUAGACUCGUAUCGUUAUGUUUUUAAAGUAUAUGAAAUUUUUGAGUUCUUUUUGGAUGUAAUAAUGUGGUAUUUUAUAAUUUUUCUAAUCAUGUAAUCAAACUUAACGAUAUAUAUCACCACAUACUUGUAAUCA